rfam:Anncaliia algerae PRA109 cont4.5136, whole genome shotgun sequence.
AAAUAGGUUUUUUUAAAAACCACAGCGAGAAUCUUCUCAAGUGAAU